rnacentral:rRNA from 1 species
AACGAACGCUGGCGGCAUGCCUAACACAUGCAAGUCGAACGAGACCUUCGGGUCUAGUGGCGCACGGGUGCGUAACGCGUGGGAACCUGCCCUUAGGUUCGGAAUAACUCCCCGAAAGGGGUGCUAAUACCGGAUAAUGUCUUCGGACCAAAGAUUUAUCGCCUUUGGAUGGGCCCGAGUUGGAUUAGCUAGUUGGUAGGGUAAAAGCCUACCAAGGCGACGAUCCAUAGCUGGUCUGAGAGGAUGAUCAGCGACACUGGGACUGAGACACGGCCCAGACUCCUACGGGAGGCAGCAGUGGGGAAUAUUGGACAAUGGGCGAAAGCCUGAUCCAGCAAUGCCGCGUGAGUGAUGAAGGCCUUAGGGUUGUAAAGCUCUUUUACCCGGGAUGAUAAUGACAGUACCGGGAGAAUAAGCUCCGGCUAACUCCGUG